rnacentral:rRNA from 1 species
AUUGAAGUUUUUGUGACUGAGUGGCGGACGGGUGAGUAACGCGUGGGUAACCUGCCUCAUACAGGGGGAUAACGGCUGGAAACGGUCGCUAAUACCGCAUGAUGUGUUCGGAUGGCAUCAUCUGAACAUCAAAGAUUUAUCGCUGAAAGAUGGGCUCGCGUCUGAUUAGAUAGUUGGUGGGGUAACGGCCUACCAAGUCUACGAUCAGUAGCCGGACUGAGAGGUUGAACGGCCACAUUGGGACUGAGAUACGGCCCAGACUCC